CAGGAGGGUGCAAGCGUUAAUCGGAAUUACUGGGCGUAAAGCGCGCGUAGGUGGUUUGUUAAGUUGGAUGUGAAAGCCCCGGGCUCAACCUGGGAACUGCAUCCAAAACUGGCAAGCUAGAGUAUGGUAGAGGGUGGUGGAAUUUCCUGUGUAGCGGUGAAAUGCGUAGAUAUAGGAAGGAACACCAGUGGCGAAGGCGACCACCUGGACUGAUACUGACACUGAGGUGCGAAAGCGUGGGGAGCAAACAGGAUU
rnacentral:rRNA from 1 species